CCAAGCUGUUUAAAGCACAGUCAACUUAGUGUAUGUAAACCUCUGACCUACUGGAAUUGUGAUAGAGUGAGUUAGAAGUGAAAUAAUCUGUCUGUAAAAAAAUUGUUGGAAAAAAUGUAUUGCGUCAUGCACAAAUCAGAUGUCCUAACCGACUUUCCAAAACUCUAGUUUGUUUACAAGAAUUUUGUGGAGUGUUCGAAAAAGGAGUUUUAAUGACUCCAACCUAAGUGUAUGUAAACUUCUGACUUCAACUGUAUACAGAGGACCUGAGCCCUAGGGCCAUGCCCCAGGACUACCUGACAUGAUGACUCCUUGCUGUCCACCUGGCCGUGCUGCUGCUCCAGUUUCAACUGUUCUGCCUUAUUAUUAUUCGACCAUACUGGACCUGAGCCCUAGGACCAUGCCCCAGGACUACCUGACAUGAUGACUCCUUGCUGUCCCCAGUCCACCUGACCGUGCUGCUGCUCCAGUUUCAACUGUUCUGCCUUAUUAUUAUUCGACCAUGCUGGUCAUUUAUGAACAUUUGAACAUCUUGGCCAUGUUCUGUUAUAAUCUCCACCCGGCACAGCCAGAAGAGGACUGGCCACCCCACAUAGCCUGGUUCCUCUCUAGGUUU
ensembl:lncRNA